CACUCCUGUUUUUUUUUCUCUUGUUUAUAUUGGUCAGCCAGGGCUUUCCUGAUUGGGGUUGUUAAUCUGGGCCAAUCAACAACCUCAGUCAACGAGGUCAACCUGAUUCCAAUCACUACAAUGUUCUAACAUGCUUCUCAGCUUCAAAGUCAGAUUUCAGAUGAAAAGCAAAUCUGGAUGUCAUCUGUAUCACUGGCAAGGGAUACAGGAUAUGGGCUAUACAAUACAAUACAAUACAACAAAGAUACUCAACUGUGGCACUAUUCUAACACAGGGAUUAUUGUUUCCAAUGGUUUACCUGAAAUCAACAUUAAACUGAUUGGCCUGUAGUUACCAGGUUUAUCUUUCUCCCCGUUUGAACAUUGUUGUGACCUUUGCAAUGAUGUCACCUCCAUAUCAAAGGGUGCAUCUAGUAUCCAGAUUGCCUCCUCUUCUUUGGCAAAAGGAUACAGCUGUGGAUUGCAUUAAUACAGCUUCAAGUACCAUGAGGGGAAA